rnacentral:misc_RNA from 1 species
CAUCCACUGCUCGGCUGUCAAAGUAAACACACGCACACGCACGCACACACACACACACACGUGCAGACCAACGCGCGUGAGGAAAAGAGCGGCACAUCGCGGCAGACAGAGACGUUCAUAGCACAACGCUGGGCUCUCAGUCGCGUUUACUCUUCCUAGAUUUCGAACAGCAAACCCCUCCCUCUCCCUUCCUCCCUUGGUCUUGUCUCUCGACGGGCAGCAAGGCGUCUGCCUGAGCAGCUCAUCCGUCACCCUUUCCCUUAUCCUGUUCCCCAACGUUUCUCGAUCAGGAAAGAAAUGCGGUGUAUAUCCCAUCGCUCCUAUGAGUCGACGGACCUUCUCACGGACUGCACGGUGGCCGUGCAGCAACUAAUGGGUAGCCGUUCGCUGCUGCCGCCCUCUCCGACAGCCGACGAACUGCUACAGCUUCUACAUGAGUCUGGCCACCCCUGCACUUCAUCGACGGCGCCGGAUAGCAACAUGGGGGUGCUCGGCUGGCCGCCAGCGUCCUUCUCGGCCUCGAGCAUCAAGUGCAAGUGUCCUACGAGCAGGCGUGUGGCGAGCAGUUUUGCCGCUGCUGGGGCUCAUUCGAUGCUGGGUGAGAUGCUGCAGUUUUUCGCUGAGGCAGUGACGCGCCUCUUCACGACCGGUGUGGCCGAUCCGUCCGUGCGCGCGUUUCCUUCAGAGUGGGAUCGUCGCCUGCAUGCACCGGCGGCUGCGUCUCUGCGCCAGCACCACCUCUAUGAGCUACAGGGCUUCAGCACGCUGUUCACCUACAUCUGGGGUCAGGUGGCUACGUCUUUGCCACUUUUGCGAGAGCAACACGGAGAGGAGAAGGCCCUGAUAGAGUCUACAGAGCGCGACAUAGCGUCGUCGACCUCGCUGGCGAUGAGGUCUACUUGCGGCUCAAGUGCGAAGAGUCCAGCGGCGCAGCAGCCACCGCCCCGUCUUCCGCUGUCUGCGUCAGCCGCCGCAGCGCACCAGGCCCAGCCCUUUCAUCGGGCAGCGAGAAAGAACGGCAGUGGCGGUCUUCAAAGCGAAAGCGCUUCAGCGCAUGCGCGCCCACUCCUUUCACUCACUCCUGCGGCCCUGCAUCUUCCAAAUGCUGCGACGGCACCCACCUACUGCCGAGGAAAGCGGCAGAAAGACGGCCCUAUCUCUGCGGUGCCGAGUCGAUCGGCAGCACAGCCGCCGACUCUAGCUGUGCUUCAGCACGCUCUGACAGUGCAAGCGAGGGCGCAGGGACCAUUUCUGCCCUCGAUUCCGCCCGAAGGGCUUGUGCCGUCAUCAGGCGCUCGAAAGGUCGAGGGGCCGCACCCGGAGAACGCCGGCGCGGCAAACGACUAUGCAAAGCAUUCGCUGGCAUCGGUGUCGUCUAAUUCUAACGCGACAGCAUCGCACCUCGCAUCAGCACGGAUAUUGUCGGUCGAGCAGGCGAUGCAGCUGGACCGUCAGCGUGAACUGCAAAGAAAACUAGGAGUCCGCCGAGUGCGCAACUACGCCGCCGAGGAUGACAUGCGCAACUACCUUGAAAACUAUCAGGCUAAUAUGCGGAGCGUGUUAGAGGGAGACGAUGUGGCAGAAGAUGGCACGUAGUGGGAGUAUCGCAGCGAUCUCUUUUUUUGAGGAGGAGGGGGUGAGUUUCAGUACUUCCACUCGCACGCGCAUCUGCUGCUAUUCGCUCAGCUGCACCAGCGUCGAACUCUGCUCGCUCUGAUUCUUCUUUGUUGUUGUGCCUCUACAUGAUGUAAACUACAGAGCCAAACGGCUGCGAGGGGAGGGAGGGCUGACGAUGGCUGUGCUUGCGUUUCGUGUGACACCUGCUUCUCCUCUUUCCUCUCUCAUCCACUACAACCCCUUCCCUUCUUCACGCCUCUCUUCUUGCCUUUAGUGGAUGAAAGCUCCCCUGAUGACGGGGGACGCCUCAUCGCGUGGCAUCAGAGCCCAGCGCCCACUCUUUGUGGGGAGGCCAAGCAGCCUGCAGCCUGCCCUCGGGUGCGGCUGCGGUGUCUUGGCGCUGACGGACAGUUCUAGGCUGGCGCGGAGCCGAAGAGACGUGCGGUCAUGAUGACCCUUUUACCAGCUCACUAAGAACCGUGUCGGCGAUUCAGAAAACAUAUCCCCCACCUGCUCUGUGUGCAGUUGCGUGGAAGUGGGUCUGAACGACGCCAAACGGUGUUCGUUGGCCCUUUUCCCGAACCUAGCUGCACUGCAACAGAGGCCGAUGAGCUGUGACUGUGUGCACGUCUAUUUGGUGGCGUGUACCUGGUCGAAAUGGGCCUGCAAAAAGAGCAAAACAACAAUAAAAGUGCACUGUGUGAUCGCCGAGAGAAGCACCGGUGAAAGCACGCCCAUGGCGCAGAAGAUACUCGUACAACGUCGCGCGUGUGUGACGAAGAGGAAUAGAACGACGCUCACAAAAAAGAAGCCAACAACCCUGGUACGCAUUCACACCCUCUGUGUGCCUGUGGCUCGCUAGGGGUGAUGGACGACUUCGGUGCGCACGUGCCAUUGAUGCCUGGCUGCAACGUGCCUUUCGUUAUCUUGGCUGGGAAAGGGCUCUGCAGCAUCAAGCGCACACCUGUACAGGGGCAUGGGCCCUUUGCCGCCGCCCUCAACUGCACUGCACCUUAUCCUCGAGCUGGUAGCAUUGCCCUCGUGUUCACGUUUCUCUCUUUUAUCGCUCGCAGCGUACUAGACUUCUCUGCACUCCUUCUCCUUAUCCCUCUCUUCUUUUCUCACGUCUGCGGCCGCCGGUUUCCAG